UACGGAAGGCAGCAGUGGGGAAUAUUGCACAAUGGGCGCAAGCCUGAUGCAGCCAUGCCGCGUGUAUGAAAAAGGCCUUCGGGUUGUAAAGUACUUUCAGUCGUGAGGAAGGUGUUAAGGUUAAUAACCUUAGCAAUUGACGUUAGCGACAGAAGAAGCACCGGCUAACUCCGUGCCAGCAGCCGCGGUAAUACGGAGGGUGCGAGCGUUAAUCGGAAUUACUGGGCGUAAAGGGCACGCAGGCGGUUAAUUAAGUUGGAUGUGAAAUCCCCGGGCUUAACCUGGGAAUGGCAUUCAAGACUGGUUAGCUAGAGUCUUGUAGAGGGGGUAGAAUUCCGAUGUGUAGCGGUGAAAUGCGUAGAGAUGUGGAGGAAUACCGGUGGCGAAGGCGGCCCCUGGACAAAGACUGACGCUCAUGUGCGAAAGCGUGGGGAGCAAACGAGGGAUUAGAU
rnacentral:rRNA from 1 species